rnacentral:rRNA from 1 species
AACACAUGCAAGUCGAGGGGCAGCAUGACCUAGCAAUAGGUUGAUGGCGACCGGCGCACGGGUGAGUAACACGUAUCCAACCUACCGGUUAUUCCGGGAUAGCCUUUCGAAAGAAAGAUUAAUACCGGAUAGUAUAACGAGAAGGCAUCUUUUUGUUAUUAAAGAAUUUCGAUAACCGAUGGGGAUGCGUUCCAUUAGUUUGUUGGCGGGGUAACGGCCCACCAAGACAUCGAUGGAUAGGGGUUCUGAGAGGAAGGUCCCCCACAUUGGAACUGAGACACGGUCCAAACUCCUACGGGAGGCAGCAGUGAGGAAUAUUGGUCAAUGGACGAGAGUCUGAACCAGCCAAGUAGCGUGAAGGAUGACUGCCCUAUGGGUUGUAAACUUCUUUUAUAUGGGAAUAAAGUGAGCCACGUGUGGCUUUUUGUAUGUACCAUACGAAUAAGGAUCGGCUAACUCCGUGCCAGCAGCCGCGGUAAUACGGAGGAUCCGAGCGUUAUCCGGAUUUAUUGGGUUUAAAGGGAGCGUAGGCGGACUAUUAAGUCAGCUGUGAAAGUUUGCGGCUCAACCGUAAAAUUGCAGUUGAUACUGGUCGUCUUGAGUGCAGUAGAGGUAGGCGGAAUUCGUGGUGUAGCGGUGAAAUGCUUAGAUAUCACGAAGAACUCCGAUUGCGAAGGCAGCUUACUGGACUGUAACUGACGCUGAUGCUCGAAAGUGUGGGUAUCAAACAGG